rnacentral:tRNA from 1 species
UGAUAGGAUGGCUGAAUAUGUAGGUAAUAAAUUGUAAAUUUAUUUAUGGUUAAAAUAACCUCCUAUCAU